GGAAUAGUCAUUCCAAUGACUUACUUAUUUCAAUGUUUGGUUCACCAUUGAAUAAUGGAAUGAUGAUUCCAAAUAGAAUCACUAUUCACCUUAGUGAAGGAAUUGUCAUUCCAUUCAAAAAACUAAGGAAUUGUUAUUCCAUUUCUUUGUCACACCAAAAUUUACUAGUGCCACUUCAACAUUCACUAUUGCCACACCAAAAAUUACUAUUACCACUCCAAAAAAUGCUAUUGCCACUCCAAAAAUUACUAUUGUCACUUCAAAAAUUGCUAUUACUAUACUAUUCCAUUGGAGAUGAGAAUGACUGUUACUAAGCACAACCAAACAUGAGAAUGAGAAUAAUUAUUCCAUUCUCAAUUCCUCCAAUUCUAUUCCAUUCUUAAUUCCAUUCCUAUUCACAUUCCAUUCCAACCAAACGCACAAAUGUUUUCCUUUGUCUAACAUUUGCAGAUCCUUUAGAGAGAGGGGCAGGUACUGCACGAACUUGUACAUGCCGUGGGGGAGAAAAAAAAAUAAAAUCUUACAAUGGGGAUUCUAUUCGUAACUCUUGCUGUUUGGUUGGUGUUUGAGAAACCUGACUCUAAAUGUAUAAUGGUGUUUGUCAACCCUGAGGCUUUCUUAUUAUUCUUACCAUUCCGGCACUCGAUGAGAAGUAUGAAAACAACAAUGUCAAUAGAAAUAUCCUAAUCGGUUGCAGGGAAGUGCAGCUGUUGUAUGUGAAAUUGGACGUGGAGUGUCUCAGUAUGUUUCAGAAGUGGAUUUUUUUUGGAAAUGAUACAAUGCUUUUGUAAUUGUGUGAGUUGAACAUCUAGAUUUGAGGAGUAAUAUAUGCUUGCAGAGAAUGAUGUACUGCUUUUGUAAUAGUGUGAGUGGAACAUCUAUUGAUUGGGUGGUUGUUAUUCA